UACGGAGGGUGCGAGCGUUGUUCGGAAUUACUGGGCGUAAAGGGCUCGUAGGCGGCCAACUAAGUCAGACGUGAAAUCCCUCGGCUUAACCGGGGAACUGCGUCUGAUACUGGAUGGCUUGAGUGUGGGAGAGGGAUGCGGAAUUCCAGGUGUAGCGGUGAAAUGCGUAGAUAUCUGGAGGAACACCGGUGGCGAAGGCGGCAUCCUGGACCACGACUGACGCUGAGUGAGCGAAAGCCAGGGGAGCAAACGGG
rnacentral:rRNA from 1 species